AUAAGCUGAAGUGAGUAAACAAGUUUGACUCCAUUUCAUACCGAACUGACUCCGUGGCGGAUCAGCACUGAAAUAUCUCUAAGAUCGCUGUCAGAUUUGCGUCUCACAGGAUUCCCCGCUGAGCACGAUGAAGACGGCUCUGGUGUUGCUCCUUGUUCUCCUGGUCAUCUCUUCCGAGAUGAUGCCUGCCGAGAGCUGUGGUGGUGGCAGUAGUAGUGGUGGUAAUUCAGCCCGCAGCGUCGGUGAAGAGACGUCCGUGUCCAAACGGGACGUGGCCGGGGACAACGAGCCGCUGCCGGGAGAAAAAUGAUGGCUGGGCAGGCCAGUCGGGAUGACUAUCACGUGCUCUCCACGUGCGACCAACGUGAUCACCAACAGCCGUCUAGAAUAGUUCUUUGCUAACAUUAACGCUGCUAGCUGUAGCUCUUUAGAUCUGAAACGCCAUGCAAAACUCUAAUAAGUCAGUGUUAGCUUGAUGUGCAUAGUUUUUCACCCAUUAUCAGGAACAAAGGGAAAACGUUACGUUGAUGGAGGUUAGACAUCCAGGUAAACAAUACUCAUAGAAAAAUGCAAGCUCUGGAUAAAGUACGGAGAUAAUUUCCGGACGUUUCCAGUGACAUCCACAACUCUUCUCCAGCGUCACUAAUAAACUAACAGAACUCGUCAACACCUGAAUGUUAGUUUUUUUCCGUAAUUUAUCCAGUAGUAGAUUUUGAAUUUCCUAUAGACAACACUUUGUCUGUACAACCCUGGAAAAUAAAGAAUGAUUCGAAUGUACGCUUGAAUGUAUUCUAAACAUCCGCUACAAUCUUUCUACAAGACAUUUUAGAAGCUGCUAGAUUCGUAUCUAUGCGUAAACUUUCGGAUAAAUAUGUCAUCCCGUGAUAGAAGACGGCUAAUAAAGACUUUA